rnacentral:rRNA from 1 species
GUGAACCAGUACCGUGAGGGAAAGGCGAAAAGAACCCCGGCGAGGGGAGUGAAAAAGAACCUGAAACCGUGUACGUACAAGCAGUGGGAGCACAGGUUUACCUGUGUGACUGCGUACCUUUUGUAUAAUGGGUCAGCGACUUAUAUUCUGUAGCAAGGUUAACCGAAUAGGGGAGCCGGAGGGAAACCGAGUCUUAACCGGGCGUUAAGUUGCAGGGUAUAGACCCGAAACCCGGUGAUCUAGCCAUGGGCAGGUUGAAGGUUGGGUAACACUAACUGGAGGACCGAACCGACUAAUGUUGAAAAAUUAGCGGAUGACCUGUGGCUGGGGGUGAAAGGCCAAUCAAACCGGGAGAUAGCUGGUUCUCCCCGAAAGCUAUUUAGGUAGCGCCUCGUGAAUUCAUCUCCGGGGGUAGAGCACUGUUUCGGCUAGGGGGCCAUCCCGGCUUACCAACCCGAUGCAAACUGCGAAUACCGGAGAAUGUUAUCACGGGAGACACACGGCGGGUGCUAACGUCCGUCGUGAAGAGGGAAACAACCCAGACCGCCAGCUAAGGUCCCAAAGUCAUGGUUAAGUGGGAAACGAUGUGGGAAGGCCCAGACAGCCAGGAUGUUGGCUUAGAAGCAGCCAUCAUUUAAAGAAAGCGUAAUAGCUCACUGGUCGAGUCGGCCUGCGCGGAAGAUGUAACGGGGCUAAACCAUGCACCGAAGCUGCGGCAGCGACGCUGAUGCGUUGUUGGGUAGGGGAGCGUUCUGUAAGCCUGUGAAGGUGGCCUGUGAGGGUUGCUGGAGGUAUCAGAAGUGCGAAUGCUGACAUAAGUAACGAUAAAGCGGGUGAAAAGCCCGCUCGCCGGAAGACCAAGGGUUCCUGUCCAACGUUAAUCGGGGCAGGGUGAGUCGACCCCUAAGGCGAGGCCGAAAGGCGUAGUCGAUGGGAAACGGGUUAAUAUUCCCGUACUUGGUGUUACUGCGAAGGGGGGACGGAGAAGGCUAUGUUGGCCGGGCGACGGUUGUCCCGGUUUAAGCGUGUAGGUGUGUGUUCCAGGUAAAUCCGGUUCACUUUAACACUGAGGCGUGAUGACGAGGCACUACGGUGCUGAAGCAACAAAUGCCCUGCUUCCAGGAAAAGCCUCUAAGCAUCAGGUAACAUCAAAUCGUACCCCAAACCGACACAGGUGGUCAGGUAGAGAAUACCAAGGCGCUUGAGAGAACUCGGGUGAAGGAACUAGGCAAAAUGGUGCCGUAACUUCGGGAGAAGGCACGCUGACACGUAGGUGAAGUGAUUUACUCACGGAGCUGAAGUCAGUCGAAGAUACCAGCUGGCUGCAACUGUUUAUUAAAAACACAGCACUGUGCAAACACGAAAGUGGACGUAUACGGUGUGACGCCUGCCCGGUGCCGGAAGGUUAAUUGAUGGGGUCAGCGCAAGCGAAGCUCCUGAUCGAAGCCCCGGUAAACGGCGGCCGUAACUAUAACGGUCCUAAGGUAGCGAAAUUCCUUGUCGGGUAAGUUCCGACCUGCACGAAUGGCGUAAUGAUGGCCAGGCUGUCUCCACCCGAGACUCAGUGAAAUUGAACUCGCUGUGAAGAUGCAGUGUACCCGCGGCAAGACGGAAAGACCCCGUGAACCUUUACUAUAGCUUGACACUGAACAUUGAGCCUUGAUGUGUAGGAUAGGUGGGAGGCUUUGAAGUGUGGACGCCAGUCUGCAUGGAGCCGACCUUGAAAUACCACCCUUUAAUGUUUGAUGUUCUAACGUGGACCCGUAAUCCGGGUUGCGGACAGUGUCUGGUGGGUAGUUUGACUGGGGCGGUCUCCUCCUAAAGAGUAACGGAGGAGCACGAAGGUUGGCUAAUCCUGGUCGGACAUCAGGAGGUUAGUGCAAUGGCAUAAGCCAGCUUGACUGCGAGCGUGACGGCGCGAGCAGGUGCGAAAGCAGGUCAUAGUGAUCCGGUGGUUCUGAAUGGAAGGGCCAUCGCUCAACGGAUAAAAGGUACUCCGGGGAUAACAGGCUGAUACCGCCCAAGAGUUCAUAUCGACGGCGGUGUUUGGCACCUCGAUGUCGGCUCAUCACAUCCUGGGGCUGAAGUAGGUCCCAAGGGUAUGGCUGUUCGCCAUUUAAAGUGGUACGCGAGCUGGGUUUAGAACGUCGUGAGACAGUUCGGUCCCUAUCUGCCGUGGGCGCUGGAGAACUGAGGGGGGCUGCUCCUAGUACGAGAGGACCGGAGUGGACGCAUCACUGGUGUUCGGGUUGUCAUGCCAAUGGCACUGCCCGGUAGCUAAAUGCGGAAGAGAUAAGUGCUGAAAGCAUCUAAGCACGAAACUUGCCCCGAGAUGAGUUCUCCCUGAGACUU